CCUACGGGUGGCAGCAGUGGGGAAUAUUGGGCAAUGGGCGCAAGCCUGACCCAGCAACGCCGCGUGAAGGAAGAAGGCUUUCGGGUUGUAAACUUCUUUUAAGAGGGAAGAGCAGAAGACGGUACCUCUUGAAUAAGCCACGGCUAACUACGUGCCAGCAGCCGCGGUAAUACGUAGGUGGCAAGCGUUGUCCGGAUUUACUGGGUGGAAAGGGCGUGCAGCCGGGAAGACUAGUCAGAUGUGAAAUCCCGGGGCUCAACCGCGGAACUGCAUUUGAAACUGUUUUUCUUGAGUACCGGAGAGGUCAUCGGAAUUCCGUGUGUAGCGGUGAAAUGCGUAGAUAUAAGGAAGAACACCAGUGGCGAAGGCGGAUGACUGGACGGCAACUGACGGUGAGGCGCGAAAGCGUGGGGAGCAAACAGGAUUAGAUACCCGUGUAGUC
rnacentral:rRNA from 1 species